rnacentral:rRNA from 1 species
UACGUAGGUGGCAAGCGUUGUCCGGAUUUACUGGGCGUAAAGGGCGUGCAGGCGGUCUGUUAAGUCUAGGGGGAAAGCUCCCGGCUCAACUGGGAGAGGUCCUUGGAUACUGGCGGACUUGAGGGAGGCAGAGGAAAGUGGAAUUCCCGGUGUAGUGGUGAUAUGCGUAGAUAUCGGGAGGAACACCAGUGGCGAAGGCGGCUUUCUGGGCCUUACCUGACGCUGAGACGCGAAAGCGUGGGGAGCGAACCGG